ensembl:lncRNA
CCAGAAUUGGAGCUCAUAUCUUUGGCAGUUGUAAAGUUUCUGCUCCUUCAAAGUUCACAACACAAUGAAUGAAUUCCUAAAACACUCUCAAUGCUGGAGAGCGUUUGUGAUGCUGAAGCAGUGACCAGUUUUUCUGUUUCUUCUUCUGGAGAUGCACAAUGAGGGACGUCUGCAGAGACUGAGAAAGAGUCUCACCACAUCCUGACAUGAGGAAAAAGACUUUACUGAAGACUACAAUGAGAAAAACUAUCAGACAGCAGACGGCUGCAUUCAAGGCUUACAGGAGGAGUCCUACGAGGACGAGCCGGUCCACCUGAUGGAGGCCAGUUGCUGCGGUUCAAAGCCAACACUGACUACGUGGACUUCUACUGGACCACAUGGAGGCCUUCAAACCGGACCAACAAGUUCAGCGACUCCCCGACUCGUGGGUCUGAGGACGCCGCCGAGCCUCGGCCCAGCUGGCCUCCUGUCUGUGGGUGUUUGAGUGCUGAGAGGUUUGUGGAUGCAUGUGAACGUGUCUGUGUUGAAACAGCAGCUUUGGACUCAGUAACGCCAGGAAAAACCAAGAGCUCCUUUAUUUGUGACUUCCACUAAAAA